GACGAACGCUGGCGGCGUGCUUAACACAUGCAAGUCGAGCGGUAAGGCCCUUUCGGGGGUACGACGAGCGGCGAACGGGUGAGUAACACGUGGGUGACCUGCCCUCCAGCUCUGGGAUAAGCCUGGGAAACCGGGGUCUAAUACUGGAUAUGACUCCAUGACGCAUGUUGUGGGGUGGAAAGCCUUGUGCGGCUGAGGAUGGGCCCGCGGCCUAUCAGCUUGUUGGUGGGGUGAUGGCCUACCAAGGCGACGACGGGUAGCCGGCCUGAGAGGGCGACCGGCCACACUGGGACUGAGACACGGCCCAGACUCCUACGGGAGGCAGCAGUGGGGAAUCUUGCGCAAUGGGCGAAAGCCUGACGCAGCGACGCCGCGUGAGGGAUGACGGCCUCGGUGUAACUACUUC
rnacentral:rRNA from 1 species